UGGGGUGUAGCCAAGUGGUUAAAGCACAGAGUCCCGAUCUCUGCAGUCGCAGGUUCGAGUCCUGCCACCCCAUCCA
rnacentral:tRNA from 1 species